rnacentral:lncRNA from 1 species
GAAAUUUAUGUUCGUAUCAAGUUUCUUCAUUUAUAAACUUCGAAUCUACUCGAUACAUUACAUCCAUGUAAAGCUAUAACCAAUAACCAAUAUUAAAAAAAAAAUAAAAAAAUACAAGAAACUAAAAUUGGGUCAUUUCAUUGAGAGGAUCAACAAGCAGUAAAAUUUUCAAACAGUUUUACCAUAUUCACAGCUUCUGGUCAAAAAUCACUUUCUUGAAGAUCUCUUCUCUCUUUUUUCUCAACCCUUCUCCGUAGUAAAAAAAGGAAGGUUAAACUUGGAACUUCACUUCUACUCUUCUUUUUUCCAUCUUUUUCCUUUUUUGCUCUUUUUUCUUUGCUUUAUCGAGAACAUAACAGUUCUAUUUUUUUUUUUUCUUUAAGCCUAAUUUGAAUUUUGAAACUUCAAAAUUCAGUUUCUUAACUACUAAUUAAGCAGCAGCAACCGUCCCUGUACGAAAAGAGUAAUCUUGUGCUUUGUUUGGUGAUGAAGAUUUUCUUUGCUCUUUUUUUCUCAAAGCCAUUGAUGAAGCAAUGUUCAUAUUCUUCUCUUUCGCUUCAUCAAUCUCUAUUUGUUCUUGUCUACACUCUUCACUACAAAAAGGUGUAUCCCCUCUGCAAUACCAAAAACAAUAAAAUCAAAACCAAAUCAAAACAAUUAGAAGAAUAAUAAGAUGGAUUAAGGAAAAUUGAUUAAUUAAUUAAUACCUGUACAUGAAGAUAUCUUUGUUUCCCAAAGCCUUUUUGCAAAGAAAACAAGAUUGAAGAAAGUGAGGUUGAUGAUCUUCAAAUCUAGCAUCAUAAAAUCUACCACCAGAUCUAGGAGAAUUAGCGUUGUUUCUGAGACCUCUAUUGUAAACAGUUGCGUAACCGUAACCUAAAGUUCUUGAAACGAAACCGUGUUGAUGAGAGAAAUGAUUGUGACCAGAAAAGCCAGGUUCAAUGUCUGUUGUUGUAAUUGAAGCCAAACCAUCGUCUUCUUCAUCGUUCAAGAAACAGUGUCUUUUAGAAGAAGUAGCCAUGGAUG